rnacentral:snoRNA from 1 species
CUGCAUCCACUGAUAGACCUUGAACAAAUUGUUGUUCUUUUGGUUUGCACUAGGAUGCGAAAGAAAAGACUCCCUGCGCUUUCUGUCUGUCUUUGUGGCGGCCCAGAUUGAAUAGGGGAAUACAUAU